UUUUUUUUUUCUUUCUUUUUUGAUUUUUAGGGCUGCAUCUGUGGCAUAUGGAAGUUCCCAGGCUAGGGGUCAAAUCGGAGCUGCAGCUCCCAGCCUACGACACAGCCACAGCAACGCCAGAUUGGAGCCUUGUCUGCGACCUUCACCGCAGCUCAUGGCAACGCUGGAUCCUUAUCCUACUGCAAGAGGCCAGGGAUCAAACCCACGUCCUCAUGGAUACUAGUCAGGUUCAUUACUGCUAUACCACAAUGGGAACUCCUAACUAUAUCUUUUCAUACUUAAAAAAUACGGCUUACAUAAAUUAUAUAAGAAUUAUUUAAUUGUACACUUGAAGUGGUAUCUUAUGUUAAUAUAUUGCUUUUGUUCUCAAAUUAUUGCCUGUUCACAUUUUUUUUAAUUUCUUCAACUGUACAGUCCAAGGAAAGAUCCCCUCUUUGCUUCUUUAGUAUCUCUGCACCCAUCCUAGUAGGAAAGCAAAAGAAAAACACUAGAAGUUCCACUUAAAUUGGCUGCUUUUGUUUUUUGGGGGGGGGGUCAAUUCCCUAUAAAUUUUACCCCGAGAAUGAAACAGGAUGACAAUGUCAAUUCUCAGCUCCACCCGUGAAAACUCCUCCAUUCUUCCAAGCCGCCUCUUCCCACAGGUUGAUGACUUUCCCCAAAUCCGCAUCUGCUUCCACGUCUCCAGGGUCCUCUGUACAUGAACAUUCACCUGCCGGCUAGACCUCUCCAGGUGUCCCCUAGGGUGUGGAAAGCUCAGCUCAUCAUCUUUCUCCCCAGUGUGGUUGGCCCGGGCACUGAGAGGUGGUCCCAGCAAGUAUGCAGCUCAAGUUCAAACCUGUGUCAUCGCAAACUCCUUCCCUCUCCCUUUCUGACCUGAAUCCAUCUCUACGUCCUGUCCACGCUGCUUCUCUUUCUCCUGGUAACUCCUUGUUCUAGCCCCCACAUUGCCUGUCGAGUUCAGAUCCCAAUCAUUUCUCACUUGAGCUACUGCCGUGUCUCCCAGCGGGUCUCGCUGAUUCUGCCCUUGGCUGGCAGGACGUACAUCCACUCUCCAGCAUUCUCUACCUAAACCGAGAGGCGUUCACUUAACUUCGCCUCUUAAACCUUCCAAAGACUCCUCCUCACUCAACCCUAAACUCACACGUGUCAUACUGGCCCUUUAAGAAUCUGGCGCCAGCUUGGCUCGCCCUCUAACCUCUACUGUCCCCUCUUCCUGGUAAGACCCUCUGACUUCUUUUUACCUUAGAAGGUCCUCAAAACUCAUGUCUUUCAGUGCUUUGCAUGGCCCUCGGUCUUGUUAUCAGCAACAUUAGACACCCCUUCGGUGAGCCUGUACAAGUGUCUGGCCCUAAUAGUCAGUCUGGGUGAUCCUGUGGGCAGGGCUUGUAUCUCACAUAUAUAUCUCUAGCUCAUAAUCCCAGACUUCUCACAUGGUAGCCUUCAAUAAAUACCGAAGAAUGGGCAGUUCCUGCUGUGGCUCAGUGGCUUAUGAACCUGAACUAGUAUGCAUGAGGAUGUGGGUUUGAUCCCUGGCCUCUCUCAGUGGGUUAAGGAUCCAAUGUUGCCAUGAGCUGUGGUGUAGGUCGCAGACUCGGCACAGAUCCCGAGUUGCCGUGGCUGUGGUGUAGGCCGGCAGCUGCAGCUCCGAUUUGACCCCUAGCCUGGAAACCUCCAUAUGCCGUGGGUAUGGCCCUAAAAAGAAAAAUAAUAAUAACAAAAUAAAAAUACUUAGGAAUGAAUGACCAUGUGGAGUUUUAUAUAGUUCUAAAGAUCUAUAUAAAAAGAUGAGAGUCAAAGAUCCCAGCUGCUUUGCAAUAAAACUCGUUCCCUAGGGCAAAUUUGUGUUUUUUCCAUUGUCCUCCAAUUCAGUUUUUAAACCGCUUCUCCCAUUCCUGAAGUAACUUCAAUUAUUUUGAGAAUAUCAAAACACCCUUGAAGGUGACAUUUCUAUCCUCUCUUCUCCUUGCUGCAAAAAUGAUUUGGAUCUUCAUCCUCAGAAAAACACAUCCCUCUGUGAUUCAGUUUACCCGAGGGAAGGAGCUCCUGAUGAUGGGAAGCAGCUCCCAGCCUCUCUCCUCCUGCAAUCCACCCUUCACUUUCACCUGGGAAAAGGUCCUGAGACCACUGACCCCUCCUCUGCACUCCCAGGGCCAGGUCUUCACCACGCCUCACUCUUACUAUUUUAACACGCUUCUAACUAGUCUCCCAUUCUUCAGUCUCUCCUUUUAAUAACCUACUCUUUCAGCUGUCUGAGCCGUACCCACCAACCUGAUCAGGUUCCUACCAUCCUGCCCCAUCCUGCCUCUCUAACCUUACCUCCCUUGGUACACUCUAGAAUCACAACUAUCUGCCAAUCCCUGAUCCCUUCUUAGCAAGCUAUGGUUGGCCGCCUAUUGCCAGUGGUGCUCAUGUUUGUGCCCUGGACUCUAUCCCUUCGUCAGUUUGAAAAAUCCCUACUCAUCCUUUAAGAAGACCCAGUUCAGGAGUUCCCUUCGAGGUGCAGCGGAAAUGAAUCCACCUGGGAACCAUGAGGUUGUGGGUUCAAUCCCAGGCCUUGACCAGUGGGUUAUGGAUCCAGCAUUGCCGUGAGCUGUGGCUCGGAUCCCGCGUUGCUGUGGGUGUGGUGUAGGCCGGUGGCUUCAGCUCUGAUUAGACCCCUAGCCUGGGAACCUCCAUAUGCCAUGGGUGCAGCCCCCCCCAAAAAAAAAAACAAAAGACAAAAAACAAACAAAAAAAGAAGCCCCAGUUCAAAUAAGCUUCUUUUCUACAAAACCUUUCAACCAGUCCAAUUACAAAUCAUUCCAAUUUUCAGGGUCUCCACAGCAUUUAGCAUAUACACCUGGUAUGGAUAAAAAAAUAUUGGAUCUCUCUCUACUAUAAGAUGGAAACUCCUUUAAAAAAAAAAGCCUAUGAAUUACACAUCUUUGAAUAUUUGCUGCCUAAGAUAAAGCUUAAGACAAAGCAAGUGCUCAAAAAAGAAAAAAGUUAAAUUAAGCUGCCUUCAUCACAUAGCAAAUUUUUGUCAACCGGAGCAAUGUCAUUCAUCCCCACAUUUUUAGGUGCACCCAGCACAGCUCCGAGAUCAAGGUCAACUUGCAGAAUAAAAGAAUGGCCCACUUUUGGAUCGAACAUGCAGAAUAGGUAAAUGAGCUCACAUGAAAUGUUUGGAAAACAUAAAUAAAUAUUUCCAAAACGAUUCAAAUGCUUUCCUCAUGAAGUAUUUCUGGCAUACAAAGCCUAGAGGGUCCUAUUGACCAGGACAUAGUUGCAGUUCUACUGUGAGAUGAGAACUGAAAUUAAGAAGAUUUGCUUAGAAACUUUUACAGCAAGUUGACAAGGCUGAUGCAUCCAUAAAUACCAUCGUGGGCUUGUCUGAAGGUGCUGGCUUAAGGCAUUGAGGUAUUGGCUGGGUCGUAUUGAAUGGACGUGGUACGUGGCACGAGCAGCAAGAGCUGCAGGCCAUUUACGGCUCAACAGGUCUGCAUAUCAGUUCAAGAUAGACUGUAAGUGAGAAGAAACAAGUCUUUCACUAGAGACAGUUUGAAAGACACCAGCAAAGAGAAUACUCUACUAACCUCCUAUGUACCACAACCAAUUUCUUCAUAUUCACCUUCCAUAUCUGCUUGAAAACUUUUCCCUAUGACAUAAAAUAUUACAGAUACAUUGAAGCCACCUCUAUGUCCUUCCUGAAUCCUUGUGUCCUCAUUUCCUCUACAGAAACAGCCUCCAAUAAGUUUUUUUUUUUUUUUUUUUUUUUUUUGGUCUUUUUGCCUUUUCUAGGGCUGCUUCCCAUGACAUACGGAGGUGCAGCCUUAAAAGAGACAAAAAGACAAAAAGAAAAAAACAGAAAAACAGGGAUCAAGGUUAUUUUGAAGACUUCUGCCUAUUUAAUAUCAUCGUAUGUGAAACAUGCAUUGUGUCCCCUAUGUGUGAUUCUUCAGCUACUGAAAGACUUGAACUCCAAGUCAAGGGAAUCGUCUCCUACCUCAAUCUUUAGAGAAAGACCUUAAAAUGCCCACACCUUGCAAAGAAAGAUGAAAGCAUGUGUGGCAGGAGUGGAGCAAAAUGGUCCCACUGAUUUCCACUGAUAUAACAGGCUUUCUGAGAACUGGGCUGAUGCGACUUGACUAUAAAAGACGCCUAUUUCAAUGGAACAGGUCAACUUGGAGAAGACACAGGAAAGAGAAGAGACGCCUGACAUGACAGACAGAAAACAUGGGCUUUCUACAGUUAAUCAAAUGGGCCCUGCCUGCAAAGCCAACAUGUCUCCUGAAAUCCAAACCUUUGAUUUUUGCAUGGCUGCCAGCUCAUUUCCAAAGCAUCCACUGCUAAUCAAACUUGUUUGGCUGCUUCCUUAUCGAAACUUUACAAAACUUUAAUUUCAGCCUCAUGAGCCCUGCAGCUGUAAAUUAAUUGAAUAAAAUUUACAAAUAUUAUGCAGUGAGAUAAUGUACUUUCAAAGUCUUUUCCCUAUUCAGUUGACUUAGCGCCCAGCACGCCAGUUUUGCUUGACGUGAGUUCAGAGCCCCCUGGAAACCUUCCUAAUCCUACUCUCUAGGCCUUGUGCCUAUUCGUGGAACCAUGUUAACCCAUAUCUGGAAAAUUAAUAAACCUCAGAUGGGUUGAAGCACUCAGAAAUAUCCCUGAUACUUCUUGCCAUUCAUUAUAUUUAGGUAUCCUUUGCAGUGGCAGAAUCCUUCUCCAAAGACCACCACAGCAGCAGAUAAAAUCCCUGAAGUUAUCAGCAUGCAACAAAAUAUCUCAUUUAAGAUUUCUGUCAUCUAAAGCCGAAGCCAGGAAUUAAACGUACUGAAGGUGAAAUCGCUUACGCUUUGGUUUAAUACAGAUAUUCCCCAAAACUGUUUGCUGAACUCAUCUACUUCACAACGACAGUGCAAAAAUUAUCAUGAUUUUUUAAAGCAGCAAAAGGAGUAAAACUGACUGUUCCGACGUAUGCCAACAGGCGAGCAGCUCAUCAGUGGUUGCUCGGUCCCACAUCACACUGACAGAGAGAAGACAAAAGACUAUUCAUUUCUCAAAAUAUACUCAGGUGCCAUCAUUCAUUUAUGAUUUCCAUGGUUACCAAGGAAGAAGUUGAAAUGUCCCUCUCUGGUUGAUUAUCACAGCACAACUGUCACCCUUUCCAACCUGGGUGGGCUUUCGUUUCCAACAAUUUUAUCAGCAUCUGGAAGCCUUCUAGCCCUUCUGGAGCUGCGCAGACAGACGCUUAUCUCAGAAGCUUCCCCCUUAAGCCAGAAGAUGUUGCUUUGAAGGAACUUCCCUGUCCCCCACACCUGUGGCAUGAGGAAGUCCCCAGGCCAGGGAUCGAACCUGUGCCACAGCAGUGAGCCAAGCAGUUGCCGUGGCAAUGCCGGAUCUUUAACCCGCUCAGCCACAAGAGAACUCCUGAAAUAACUUCUGAUAUUGCCUGCUAAGGGAGUUUUAUAGAUUUCUUAAGCUCUCAGAAACAUGGUUCUGAACAGUAAAGUGAGGAUAAAAACAGUACUCAAGGAGGGUUGGUGUGAACGUAAAAUAAGAGAAAGCAAGGCAACAGCCGGGCAUAAAACAGCUCUCCGUGAGAAAAUUGCAAAAUGUAAGCAUAGCUAUUUUUCCCUUCUUUAGAAAACAAACCAAAAAUAAAGCCAAUUUAUCUCACUGCUGACUGGUCUUUGAAAAUAGGGUCUUGAUAAACAACAAGGUCUUACUGGUUGACACAGGGAACUAUAUUUGCUAUCCUGUGAUAAAGCCUAAUGGAAAAGAAUACAAAAAAAUAUACAUAUACAUGUAUAAUGAGGUCACUUUGUAGAACAAGUCCGGCGUCGGAAAUCAACGCAACUUCAAUACAUUUUUUUUUAAUGCAGCCUUAUACAGAACCAAGGAAGUUCACAAAUUCUUCUUAAAAUGAAUCCCAGAAAAGAAAAAUAUCAUGUGUUCCGGGGCAAUAAAAGUGGUACCUCUGCCUCUGCCCUUCCGAGCAAGAACUGGAUGGACUCUGCCUUGCAAUAACUACUCAUGACUUCCCUCAAGAAUUUCAGACAGUGGGAAAAUUAGCUGACGCAAACAAAAGUUCAUGAAAUAAAUAAAAUCCCAACCCGCGUCCCUUUAGACAAAAAGCAGAUGGAAACAAUACAAAAGAUUGUUAAUGCUCUGGCAAACUCAUCGUUCUUCCAAAUGGCAUUUACAAAAGCUCACCAGACCUCCAGCUGUGGCUAUGCCAUGGGAAGCCCCUACAGCAAUCGUGAGUGUAUUUAACUCAAGACCAUAAAUACAAGAGUAUUAAAAAAAAAAAACCUCCUAAAUAAAUAAAUCUAGAAAAGAAUUACUGUUUAUAUUAGAGCCAUAGGUUCAAAUAGCCAAAGUUAAAGAUAGAUAGAUAGAUAGAUAGAUAGAUAGAUAGAUAGAGCAUAGGUAUUUGUGUGUGUAUUUACAUAUGUAUAUGUCAGGAUGAAAUUAUACCACGCGCGCACGCACACACACACACACACACAAACUCUUCUCUUGAGUUCUUGUAGCUAAACUAAUAAUAAAAUUGAUACAAUACAGAUUAUCAGCAGAGAAACAAAUUUUAACUCAUGUGCACCAGGUCUCAUAGAAAUGGGAUCUAAGAAGUCACCAAAGCAGGCGGCUUUUACGUGUUUUAGACAAAGAAACAUAAAUUUGCCACGAAUCAACAGGACAAAGAAACUUAGGCUUUGGAUGCUUACUUAGUGGCCAGUCUAAAGAGUGUGGGCUUGGGUAGUAAAUUAAAGAAGUAACAGGUUUGUGGACAUAAGCUUCUUGGCCCCAAAUUCCCUAUUUCUGGUGAUGAAGGUGUCCUUCCAUCUCCAGAUGCCCGGAGCGUACCUUUCACACGAGAGAUUUAUUUCCUGUUUCAGGGAGACAGAGAGGAGGGGCGGAGUGUCCCGCUUGCACUGGCUGUUUCUUAAGUCGCUUUAAUUCAAAACAAUCCAUAUGUCAUGAGGCGCAGUUGGGAACGGCCUGCCUUGGGCCCCAACCUAUACACCGACUUCAUCAUGUAAUCUCUAAACAGUAAGACCUUUGGUGAGUUGUCACCAAGGAAACAGUCAAAGGUAAGCCUGGGCAGUUUCUGGAACAUCAACGUCCAGCGAAACUUGCGCACACACUGAAAAUUAUAACUUUUAGAACUAAUUAGUCUUGUUUCUGACAAGAAAUUAAAUCUUGGACAAAGGAAGACGUCUGUAGAGACAUUCCACGAGGAAGUGGCUGAUGCAUCUAUCCAACAUCGAAGUCCUUGCCGAGAACCUACUGCACACCAAACACCGAGCCAGGCGCUACAGUAACAGCCACAACAGAGUAAAAGGAGCCCCUGACCCCACAGCGUUGAUAGUCCAGGGAAAUGACAAUGACCAUACAAAAAGCACAAGGGCUGUUAUGCCCAAGAGGGUCGAAGGUUAGCUAUGAGUGCAGGAAUCUCAGAAAAUCACUCUACUUACAACCUCGAUGCUCAGAGAGAAAAUGCCCUCCCAUGAUGAAUGCUAUUAACAUUAACCAGUGUCUAAAAAUCACCCUCUUCUAAAUUCCCUGCUUUCCUGAGUUCCAGACCUACCUCCAGAAUAUCUUCCAAGUUGAUUCUGACAUCACAGCCACUGCCUGCUUCUCAGCACAUACCCCGCACCUUCUACUGUAAAUGCUUCUGAAUCAGUGUACACCCCCUUCCUUAUUUAACAGUUAGCUACUAAAAUACUUUUUACAAACAAGAACCUGACUUCACUCUAUUUCUGAAAAACCUCCAACAGUUCCUGAGAGAGGAUGACGUUUAGCUAGUACAGCUCUGCCUAACGAGCAAAGCAAAGACUAGCUUUAUCCUCCCAAGCCAGCUCACACAGAGGCAAUGAGACUGAACUCAGCAUUGACACACCACCCCGACCACCCCAGGCUCCCUCAAGCCUCCCUUGGUUUGUACAUGCUGUUUCCUCUCCGUAGAACAUGCUGUUCCCCUUCCCCUUGGCCUUGCCCCGGCUGGAUCAUUCUCUUUCUUCUAGUUACUGUCUUCUUUGGCUGGGGGCAGAUUUAACAUCUUGACCCUGGGCAACUACAUACGUCACAAAAUGGUAUUCGGUACAUUGGUAUAAUGUUAUUAGUCCUUUCUCUUCCUAGAAAAGGGCCAUUUCUUAAUCAUCUCCCAGAACUUAGCAUAAUGCGUGAUGCCAAGAAUAUGUUGGAGAAAAAUCUGAUGAAUGAACGAGAAUUACUAAUCCAUCCUAAACACAAAUUUAAUAAAGGAAAUGACUGCCUAUUAGGUUGGUACUGUACCAUGUUACGAAGAUAAAAGUAUCCUGGGCCUCAUAAAGAAAUACGAUUAUACUCCUGGAGAGAGCUGGAAGGGAAGGCUUUUUAUCAAUGGAUUCCCUACCACUCAACGGCAUCAACCUCUAAGGCUGGCCCCACAGCAGUCACCUUGCAGUCUGCGGGUCAUUGGACAUUGGAGGUUAGCUCAUGGGAAAAUAAGAUUGGGAUCUGACAGACUUAUUUUUCAGCUUAAGGUCAGAUUUUAUUUGGAAAAAAAAAAAAAAAAA
rnacentral:lncRNA from 1 species